AAGUCGUAACAAGGUUUCCGUAGGUGAACCUGCGGAAGGAUCAUUACAGAGUUCAUGCCCUCACGGGUAGAUCUCCCACCCUUGAAUACCAUACCUUUGUUGCUUUGGCGGGCCACCUUGGCGUGUCGGCUUCGGCUGGCUGCGCCCGCCAGAGAACCCAAACUCGUUUGUUUAGUGAUGUCUGAGUACUAUAUAAUAGUUAAAAACUUUCAACAACGGAUCUCUUGGUUCUG
rnacentral:misc_RNA from 1 species